rnacentral:rRNA from 1 species
CGAGUUGCAGCCUGCAAUCCGAACUGAGAAUGGUUUUAUGGGAUUUGCUUCACCUCGCGGCUUCGCUCCCCUUUGUUCCAUCCAUUGUAGCACGUGUGUAGCCCAGGUCAUAAGGGGCAUGAUGAUUUGACGUCAUCCCCACCUUCCUCCGGCUUGUCACCGGCAGUCACCUUAGAGUGCCCAACUGAAUGCUGGCAACUAAGAUCAAGGGUUGCGCUCGUUGCGGGACUUAACCCAACAUCUCACGACACGAGCUGACGACAACCAUGCACCACCUGUCACCGCUGUCCCCGAAGGGAAAGCUAUGUCUCCAUAGCGGUCAGCGGGAUGUCAAGACCUGGUAAGGUUCUUCGCGUUGCUUCGAAUUAAACCACAUGCUCCACCGCUUGUGCGGGUCCCCGUCAAUUCUUUUGAGUUUCAGCCUUGCGGCCGUACUCCCCAGGCGGAGUGCUUAAUGCGUUAACUGCAG